UGACCUUAAAGGGGACCUACUGACCUGGAAAGCCAUUGUAUCAACAUUGUUUCAAAACAUUAACCAGAUCUAGGGGCUCCUGGAUGGCUCAGUUGGUUAAGCAUCUGACUCUUGAUCUAAGCUCAGGUCAUGAUCUCAGGAUCCUGGGAUUGAGCCCCACAUCGGGCUU